rnacentral:rRNA from 1 species
GAUGAACGCUAGCGGCAGGCCUAACACAUGCAAGUCGAGGGGUAACUAGAGUGAUAGCAAUAUUACUUUGGCUAGACCGGCGCACGGGUGCGUAACACGUAUGCAACCUACCUUAUACUGGGGAAUAACUUCGAGAAAUCGGCGCUAAUACCCCAUAACAUUGCGAAGAGGCAUCUCUUUGCAAUUAAAGCUCCGGCGGUAUAAGAUGGGCAUGCGUCCAAUUAGCUAGUUGGUGUGGUAACGGCUCACCAAGGCUACGAUUGGUAGGGGUUCUGGGAGGAUGAUCCCCCACACUGGUACUGAGACACGGACCAGACUCCUACGGGAGGCAGCAGUGAGGAAUAUUGCGCAAUGGACGAAAGUCUGACGCAGCCAUGCCGCGUGCAGGAUGACGGCCCUAUGGGUUGUAAACUGCUUUUGUACGGGAAUAAACCCUUCUACGUGUAGGAGGCUGAAGGUACCGUAAGAAUAAGCACCGGCUAACUCCGUGCCAGCAGCCGCCGCAGUAA